UGUGAGAGUGAUGAGUUGCACACUGGUGGAGCCAUGGUAUCAGGUGAUACAAGCCCCCACUCAGUAUUACUCUGUUGACAAAAUCAAGUGCACAGGGGCCAUCUGACUCACA
rnacentral:snoRNA from 15 species